AGAAACCUUGUCUCGAAAAACCAACCAACCAAUCAACCAACCAAACAAACAAAAAAACAAGUUUCUUCUUUAUGGUAGCUUUACGUCACUUUGGUUAGUGAGCCUUCACAAUUUCUAUUUGUAUUUAAAUACAAAGAUAUGUUAAGUGUAGAUAUUGCUGAAAGAAAAAUAAGCUCUCAAAAUCCUCAAUGACUUUACAUGCAUGAUUAACUUUAUAAAUGUCAGAAGAGGAUACUGCUUAUUUCUCUAUUUAUUAAUCAAUCAAAUUGCCAUAUCAUUGACAUAAGACAGUAAAGCCAAAAGAAGAAAAAUUAGUUCAUUUUAAAAUGACAGUAGGUUGAUUUCUCCAUAAGAAUGCUUAGACUGAAGAUAAUAAUUGGAGAUUUUUACUUUAGAUCACAUGUCAUAUACCAAAAAAAAUUGUUUAGAUGGUAUGUGUUUAUGUCAUGUGAAUCUUAUGAAAACUUUUUAUAUUUUUAAAAAGCUUUAUACAUGUAGAAGUUGCAUCAAGUUUCUUUUGUUAAUCAGAGCUUUGUAAAAAUUUUCAAGCUUGCUAGUGUUGUAGUUUGUCUUUUGCUGUUGUUUUUAAAUUUUCAUGAUCAUAGACUUUUAUUAAUUUAAAGAACAAAUUUCUGCCAACCAGUAAGAUUUAAUAUUUCCAGUUGUAAACUCUUAAGACUUAUCAUGCAAAAUAGCUGGGAAAUAAGAAAGUGGCCCUCUGGAAAUAGAUGGAACCAGGUGAGUCAGAUUUGAGAAACUACAUUUUUCUUUAUAUUGGACAUAAUUUCCCAUCCCAGAUAAUUCUCAAGGCUCUUUAUGAAUCCUAGUUUCUGCCUUUUCUUAUAUUUAUGGUUUCUCUAAAAUCCUCAGGUAGUGAAAUACCUGCACUCAUGAAUCAUCUGCAGAUAGGAGUGGUUCAGACACUCUCUGUCCAAAUUGAUAAUGGGUAUCUGAUCCACCGUGAUGCCUUUUUUUAAAGGUCUGUAUAAGGAGUUUGCUGGGAGAAAAUCGUUCUUUUUCUCUCUGAUCUUAUACUCAUUAUCAUGUCCAAUAGCUAAUGUCCUCAACAUAGAAAUGCAGAGUGGCUAAAACGAGAGAGCUGUUCCUGACUCUCAAGAUUAUUUUGUAAAAGGCACACCCAUGCCAGACAGAAUUCUCUCUCCAAGCUGUGCCAUUAAAAUCUUAAGAUAGAUGGACACUACUGUUUAUUGUUCCUCAUCAUGUCUAUUUCCUUUCUCAAGUUUGUAUUUAUGAAAUGGCAUUUUGAAAGCUUAUGUGUUGGAUAUGAAAUUUGUGGUUUUAAAAGCAUUCAAUUUAUUUGUACCACUUGAAGCUUUUUUCCUUUUUUUGGUAUGUAACUUAUCUCCCAUUUUAAGAUAGAUUGACUUAUUUGAAUCAUUUUCUAAGGAUAGAAUAGAUAGCAGCCUCCAGGCAGUGAUACUGUCGUAAUCAGUAGCACUUGAUGUAUAGCAUUCUUAAGAGUCACCUUGGAAAUAGUUAAAAAUGUAGAUUUCUAGAUUAUAACCACUAUGAGUGGAAGUGAGCCUAGAAUGAGUUGCUAUUUUUAAUAAGCCAGAUAAAACAUACGGCUGUCUUUUCAACAGGGACUUUAACUGAUAAAUUAUAUUCUGCCACUUGCAUAUAUAGCUUGUGUAUGCCUAGCAUCAGUCCCAUAUGCUGCCCUACUGGGUUCCUAAAGUGCAUUGUGAUUGGAUCAGCUGUAGGAUUUCCUCCUAAUGUUGAUUGUAAUGCCCCUCUCUGCUUUGGGUUGUCAGAAGUCUUACCUUGGACAGUGUCUCUUCCUGCUCCAGCACAAGUUCUCCUGUCUGAAGCCCACUCCGAUCCCAUCUAUUUUCUGAGCCCAGAUCAACCAGUUAUCACCUCUGCAGGGAAGCUUCCCUGACCUCCCUAAAGGCCACUCCCUUAUAUUACAGUUAGGGUUGAUUGUGGAUAUUACAUCUGGGAAGUAGGUCUAUGGGCACAGAUGUGAAAGACUGUGUACAUUAAAGUCAGCUUCUAAGAAUGUCUGUGAGGGGUCAUCUUGACUAAGUUAACUUAAGAGGGAUGAUACAAACUAGUUGUGGGUAGGACCAUUCCCCAAGCAGGUUUGUGUAAAAUGGAAAGAACUAGUGUGUGUCUAUUCACUGCAUUGACUGUGUGUGGAAUGCGAACAACUGCUUCAGUCUCCUGAUGUCUAGACUUCCCUUCUCUGACGGACUAGGACUUGAAGUGUAAACUAUAAGCAGCCUUCAUUCUUUAAGUUGCUUUUGUCAGAGUAUUUAAUCUCAACAGCAGAUAAGAAACUAAGUUGUACAGUAAGCACUCUUACAUAAUGAACCUUCUUGUCCCUCACCAAUAAUAUUUUUUAAUUUCAAGGGGAUUUGAUUACAAACAGCUAACAUUUAACACCAUUUGCCAAAAAAUGCACGUCUCAUGGCUGAAACCUUGCUUAAGGUGACCUUAAAUACUAUUAUGAUGAGGUGAAUAAGUUACACCAUUAUCAUUAGAGACUUUCCAGUUGGCCCAGUUCUUCCCUUUUUUGCCUUUCCAAUAGUGUUUGUUAUCCUAUUUCCAUGCUAGAGUUAGUACACCAUCAAUGGGUUUUAGAGGUAAAGUCUACAGAAAGUUGUUCCUCAAUACUGUCUCACACUGUUAUUUGUUGUCUAAACUACAAGCCACUGUUUUCC
rnacentral:lncRNA from 1 species